rnacentral:rRNA from 1 species
UACGUAGGGUGCAAGCGUUGUCCGGAAUUAUUGGGCGUAAAGGGCUCGUAGGCGGUCUGUUGCGUCAGGAGUGAAAACUCGGGGCUUAACCCCGAGCCUGCUUCUGAUACGGGCAGACUAGAGGUAUGCAGGGGAGAACGGAAUUCCUGGUGUAGCGGUGAAAUGCGCAGAUAUCAGGAGGAACACCAGUGGCGAAGGCGGCUUUCUGGACGGUAACUGACGCUGAGACGCGAAAGCGUGGGGAGCAAACAGG